GAUCCUUUUAACCACAAAAAUUAAUAUCCAAGGACACAGAACUGAAGGGCCUCAUUCUAAGUUCCUAACCUAGUGCCACUUCUUCUUCAAUGUCCUUGAAGAGAACACAGAUAGCAUUGUUACAGCACUGUGCUUUAAUAAUUGAGUUUCUGUUCAGCACUCAUGAGUUGCUUGCUCCUUACAAACUGGAAAUAAUAAGUUUCUUUCUCCCUCCUCAGUCUCUGAUAGUCCCUCUCCUGUGAAGAGCAGACAGCCCUGACAGUAGCACACAUUAAACUUACAGCACACUGCCUCUAGCCCCCUUCCAGAUAGCCGAGAGCUCUGUGCAGCUGCAGUGUCACGGGCAGAAGGACACAAAUGCAGCGAUUCUGAAACACUGCGUCCCGACCCCUCAGAAAGUGGCAGCACAACCAGCACAUUAUUCCGGCCUCACCUCCCCCAGGCCAGCGUGACAGUAGUCCGAGUUAACCUAAAACAACAGUCUGCAUGCCUUGUUCUCCACCAGCACCGAGAACGCAAGAAUGAGAAGCAACUCCUUUAACCAGACAGAACAGCCAGUCGCUGGCCCAGCCCAGUCUCUAGUGUCAUCACAGGUAUCACGAGAGGUAUCACCGGGACUACAUUUCAGUAGCCAACACUGCUGGGAGAGAGCAGCCAGAAAGGCUACAAGAGGGAACAGAGGCAGGAUGCUCAGAAUCAGGGAUGGCCUCUGAACAUGAACGAGUCCCAUCAGUCUAACCGAUCCAGAGCUUCUGCAAGCCUGGCGUUCUGUCAUGACGAUGCUCGGAAUGGACGCCUCAAGAGGGUGGCAUCACAUCACAGAGUCAGCUCUACCGCCUCCCGGUUCCCAGGUCCUGCCUUCGACGUUCUCAUAUUGCGAGUAUGAUCUCCUUUUAAUGGACUUUAAUUAAACUUAUAUUAAGUUCUUAAUUGUUGUCUCUUUUAACUGCUCU